GACGAACGCUGGCGGCGUGCUUAACACAUGCAAGUCGAACGGAAAGGCCCUGCUUUUGUGGGGUGCUCGAGUGGCGAACGGGUGAGUAACACGUGAGUAACCUGCCCUUGACUUUGGGAUAACUUCAGGAAACUGGGGCUAAUACCGGAUAGGAGCUCCUGCUGCAUGGUGGGGGUUGGAAAGUUUCGGCGGUUGGGGAUGGACUCGCGGCUUAUCAGCUUGUUGGUGGGGUAGUGGCUUACCAAGGCUUUGACGGGUAGCCGGCCUGAGAGGGUGACCGGCCACAUUGGGACUGAGAUACGGCCCAGACUCCUACGGGAGGCAGCAGUGGGGAAUAUUGCACAAUGGGCGGAAGCCUGAUGCAGCAACGCCGCGUGCGGGAUGACGGCCUUCGGGUUGUAAACCGCUUUCGCCUGUGGCGAAGCGUGAGUGACGGUAAUGGGGAAAGAAGCACCGGCGAACUACGU
rnacentral:rRNA from 1 species